GACUCAUCUUUUGGACUUUAGCCA
rnacentral:siRNA from 1 species